AUGUGGAGAAGGCGUAUUAGAGUACACACAGCAGCUGCACCAGUGGUUGCAGAUCUCGUAGAGAUGUAUUGCCAGGCUGAUGUUGGUGCCUUUGUUUCUGUGUUUAGCAGGCUAGGUACAAUAAAACAGGUCCCUUCUUCUGGUGAUGUCGUGUGAUUGUGGAUCUUGAUUUUUUUUUUCUUUUAUAUAAUAUUUAUUGAAAUAACUUGCAGCCAUUGAGAAAACGUUGUCCAGUAAACUGGAAGACGCACGAAACUCAGUGCAACUAAGAAUUGUUAAAGCCCUUAAAGAGUAUCGAAAUCUUUAUGCUGUGCAACAUCGCUUAGGAGACAGGAUAAUAUUUCCAGAGUCUCUGAAAUUCUUGCCUUUGUACGGAUUAGCACUUUGUAGAUCCACACCUCUUCGGGGAGGAUAUGCUGAUGCUCCACUUGAUGAAUGCUGUUCAGCAGGUUACACAAUGAUGACUCUACCAGUAAAGAAAUUGUUGAAGCUUCUAUAUUCUAGCUUAAUACGACUGGAUGAGUAUCUUUUGAAAGUAAUGAAUUACUGGAUUCACUUAUGCACUUGUGAUGAUUUUUAUAUUAGAACAUCCUCAGAAUUGGUUUUACUUCUCACGUUUGCAGGCAUCUGCUCAAGUCGAUGACUUCAAAAACCCUGAGAAAAGAUUACCACUGGCUGCUGAGAACUUAGAUUCCAGAGGCCUUUAUUUAUAUGAUGAUGUUUUUUGCUUUAAUACAUGGUUUGGUAGAGCUCUUUCACCUGAUGUGACCAUGAAUUUACUUGGUGCAGACUUUGCAGCAGAAUUGUCAAAAGGCAUGGUGGAUCCAUCUAAAAGAAAAAAAAGAUAGUGUAUGAUAGGCUGUAAAAUAAAAGCCUUGUGAUUACCACACCACCCCCCCACCCCACCCCCAAAAAAAAAAAAAGCAUGUACUACAACAACGGCAAGAUCAACAAAACCCAGUUUUUGGGGUUGGUUAUGGACUUUUGCCAUUUGAUCAUAUCCAAGAUCUUAAUCUCUAUUAUCUCCUUAAUUAACAUGUCAUUUUCUACUACUUCAAUAUGUUAUUUUAGGUAUUCUUCUACUUCCUUCCAUUCCCCAAUUUGAAUCAAAGCAUGUACUUUUUCCUUUCACUUUGGACUUUGAUGUGCCUAUGCUUGUCCUAGGGGGCGGGCUGUUUGGGAAAUUAAUAAUUUAUCAGCUUAGGUCCGAUCUUGAUGUGUUGUUUUGAACUUUUGAUAAACAGAUUUUUAGUUUAUGUUUAUCUCGAGACCAGCUUUUUCUUGGUUCUAUUUGGAAUUUUCAGAUACUUCUGUAUCCUUAUAAAACAAAAUUUUUCUACAAAGCAUCAAAUACUGGUCACUCUAUCUGCAGCUGACUUGCUUUUGGGGCUCCCGAACAACUCUUCUAAAGUUCUGGAGUUUUAAACCCAAAAAAAAAAAAAAAAACCCUUAGUAUUCACUUAAAAGGUUUUAUUCAAUUAGUCUUGGUGUUGAGUUUUAUUUAAUUAGUGUGGAUGUGGCUGCUAUACACAGCCAGUGCCUUAAAUGCAUGCCCAGAAAACAUGUUCCCUUUCCUAAUCAAUCUGUAACUGACUUCCUCUGUUGCUGUAUUUUAGUUUUUUUUUUGUUUGAAUCAGGUUACCCUUUCUGAGCGUGACAAUGAAAUGUCAAGGAAGCUGAUGAGGAUACUUGAGAAUUUAGAGAAAGCGACCCUUCAUAUUAUCAUGUGUCAUCUUGUAAGACAAGGCGAACAGCCCAGAGAAGGCUUUCCUUCUUCUCUCCGAUUUUGUUGAGGACCAGAUGGUGGUUGCUAAUGGUUAUGUAGAUUGGAUUCUACAAAUACACCGGCAAGUUCAGCAAAAUCCAUAGUAUACCAAGUUCAGCAAUUUUUGUAAUAUAUAGGUAAUGAAUUCUUCUGUUAAUUUUGGGUCUACUAGGGACAUUGCUUCAGAAUGUUUUCAAUUAGGAACUAUGGUGUGUCAAAUCAUUUAGGUUGUGUUUUAGGAUUACAAUUAUAAACAGCUUAUUGAGAACAUCUCUGUUUGAAAAUACUUCUAAAAUUAAAAAAAAAAAAAAAAAACUCUGAAAGUAAUGAUUUUCAUGUUCUGAUGUCUUCCUUGACUUGAAUUCUGCAGGGGGCUUAACAUGCUUGUUCCGUGCCUCGCCCAUACAUUGAUGGAACGUUUCAUUCAAUGUAAUUAUCAGUUUGAAUACUGGUCACCAGACGUCGAACAAUUUCUUUGUCCAUCACAGGAUGUAAUAAUUAGGGGAUUUUAGUUAGUGAUAUAAUCUUGUGCUUCUUGCCUUUAAACUGAGAAGAAAAAUAGAAGAAAAAAAAAAUAUUUGAAUGUGAUAUCUUAACUACUUUGGCUUCUUUUUCUUUUUCUUUUUCUUUUUUCUUUUUUUAUUUUAAAUUUUCUAGUUUGUGUUGUAUUGUUUGGAAGAGAUGGAAAGUUUCUUCAUUAAAUUAUUGGGUUUUGUUCUGUUACAAUGAUAACAUUUGAAGAAACAUUCGUUUCCUUAUCUUUGGCUUAAAAUGAAUCUACUUCUCAUUAGUCACUAAGGAACUUGGUUGGUUCCUUGCUAUUGAAAAGCUCAAUAUCAGUUUUGAAGGUGCUAGCCAACCAGUUGAUACGGUUUAGUCACAGGGACAAUCUUCAUCAACUAAAAUAGCGAACCAGUAAUCUAAGUAAGUAAUGUUAUCUGAAUGUCUAAUCUCCUAAAGGGGAAAAAAAUCAUUGUAGAAUUUAUUGAAUCUAGAUAAAUCGAUGCACUGCUUAAAUUGAAAUAACAAUUAAAUAAAGCUGAAGAUCUUAAAUUAGGUGGAUCGUCCAACUUCUAGCUCAAGGCGGAUAAAAGCAACUGUAAAACAAAAUAUUGGAUUGUUACAUUUUUUGGGGUGCUUGUACACUCCCAUAGAAUUGGAUUAGAUGCAUAAACACUGACUAUCUGAUUCUCCAACAAAUCUACUAAUGAACUAUUUCUAUAGUAUGAGUAUGCAUAACAUCACUAAUAUUCAAUUUAGCUUGAAUUCUUGACAAAGCAACACCAAAUUUUUUGGUUCUGGGGAUCUUCAUAAUGGCAAAGAUCAAUUAGUCCUUAUGAAAGAUGCUAGAUGCAAACUGCUACUUUUCUUGAAGGCAUUCAAAAUGAAAACCAGCUGUUAGCAGCUGGGUCUCUGAUAUCUUGCUAUGAAGAUGUUAUGCAGGGGUGGCUCAAUAGUAGAAGCAACUAAUCCCAUUGCAUAAGGCCCCCAAGUGAUAGAAGGCCCCCAAAAUCAAGCCCUAGGUCAACAAAAUUUAAAAAUACAAUCUCAAAUAUUAGUCAAUACUUAUCUAAUACUAUAUUUAAAAAACAAAGACAGGUAGAAGAAAAUUUUGGAUUAUUAAUUAUCUUGGAGAGUAGUAUUAAUUAAGCCCCUAAAUUUAGCCAAUACAUAAAAAUUUCAAUCUCAAUAUGCAUGUGUUUUGUUUGAUUUUCUCUUUCAAACGGUUAAAAUUCUUUAGAAUUUUAGACUAACUUGAGUCUCCUAGACACACUAAAAAGUAAAAACAUAGACCAAACUCUCUCUAUCUCUCCAAAACUCCUAAACUAAAAUUGAUUACCUGAAGAGAUUGAAAUAUUCUUCCAGAUAAUCUACCUAAAAUGGUAGUCAGUUACAAGCAGCUCCCUUGGCAAUCGAUAGUCCCUUGAAGAGGUAAAACAAAGCCUCUCCUUUUAUAAAAAUUUUUCUACCUUUUUGUGACAUAGCUUUCUUAUUUUACUUUCUCUAGGUUAUUUAGAAAAGAAUGGGAAAAAGAAGACAAUAUUUUUUUCUUUUUUAAAGAACAUGGUAGAGGUUCUCUAGGUUUUUGAGGCAAAUGUUUGGUAAAGAGUAAAGACUCCUCUAGAUUUAUCGUUUUGUUCUUUUUUAUUUUUUUAAUUCAUAAAUUUUUAUUUUAAAAUAUAAAGAAAAGUCUAACACUAGCUACAUAAUUCGUUGUUUCUUGGUCCAAUUAGGCGUUAUUUAAUCUUUAUUUUUUGAAAAGUAUUUAUUCUAUUUGAUUUUAUUAAAUAAAUAUGUGAAUUUGGUAUUAAAAAAAAUUUAAUUUUUUUUAAAAACCAAAUCUCAAAAGAGAUCUCUAGAUUAAUUUGUCACUAGCAAUAAAAAAAUAUAACUAAAAAUUCAGUUAAAAAUCUUACAAAUAAACAAUAAAUUUAUAAAAAUAAAGUUAGAAGAUAAUAAUGAAAUAAUUGCACUUAUUAUCAAUUAAAAAGAAUAUUCUAAAAGAAGUUGAAUACAAAAACUUAAUUAAUAAUUUUACACCUUAACAAGCAAGAAAAAUAAAAUUUAAAUAAAAAUAUUUUAUAUAAAAUUAAUAAUAUAAAGUAGAUAUUUAAACAGUAAAAAAAAAAACCCCCAUUUAAAAGUUUUGCUUAAGGCCCCAAAAUACCUUAGGCCAGCCCUGAUGUUAUGACUGAGCUGAAAGUAACAAAUUCAUCUUUGUGGUUGAAGGAGCACAACAAGGCUUAUGAAUUAUGACCUUCAUGAGACACACACACACACACACACAUAUAUAUUUGCUCCUCCCGUGCUUUGUUGACAGUCUAGCUUUUGCUAAGAGCUUGCAAGAUGAGAGAAGCUUGGUUUUGAAUCAGGAGAAACUUUUGAUCUGGAUUCUCAGGAGGAGAGUCCAUGUAAGAAUUGAGUUGGAUUCUCGGGACAAAAUGGAAAUCAAGGUUUGUGAAGUGUCUUUGGAACAGUUGAUGGGUCCAUGAAAUGACAUUGAGGGCAGUGUUCCUCACACAGUUCAACUUCAAGCCUUCAUCUUUCAAUUAUCACAAAGAAUACACUAUAGUUUUUUCUUCUCGGUCUAUGUUUUUGUUUUAGAUUUAAUUUUUAAAGUGCAUCUUUCUGUCACGUCAGAUUCUAGAGAUGCUUGCACAAAUCAAGUUUCUGACUCAGAUUCUCACGCUUGCAGAGGUUGCUGAAAAUGUUUUCUAUUGUCACUAUUCCUUAAAAAAAAAAAAAAAAAAGAAAAUUCAAAUCCAAUCUGCCGAGUAACUGGACUAGGUUCUCAUUAGUGGAGUUCUUUUAAUUUUUUUUUUUUUGUGAGAGGUCCUAAAGAACAAAAAUAUCUAAGAAUAGUCUUGAUUUCUUAAGUUUUCCCGCUUUCUCAAAGUGAGCACAUGAAAAAUGUUUACUUUCUAGUGCUGAUUUGUAAACAUUAUCAGCCUUUUUCACAAAAUAAAAAGCUUUGCCCGAUGUAUUGUUGUCUCUAGCCAUCAAGUUGAUCUUGGAUUGUAUAGGUAAUCAUACAAAGCUGACUAGUCAAGAAGAAUUCCUAACUAAUGAGAUGGAUUUCACAUGAACCAUAAUCACUCAAGAUGAAUAUAGAUUAUAGUGUCGCAAAAAUGUCCUCAGAUUUGAGUCAUUUGACAGAGAAUACUUCCAGUACUAAAUUGAGGAAUGAAGAGGAAAAAUCAGUAGUAACGACUCAAAGGAUCGUUGGAAACUUUAUCUGCUCUAACAAAGAAUGAUUUUCAACGGAAAUCAUGAUAUUCAAAAUGAGAGAGUGGUAAAAUUGUCAAACAAGAUGAUCUUAGCAUUUAAGAGGUGCCUUCAACUUCCUGCUAAACUAGCUCUAAGGCAAGUACAGAAGAAGCAGAAGAGGAAAUGAUAAAGUAGUUAAGUUGAGUGAAAGCAUGCACAUAGUCCCUCUUAAAUCUUCAUGUGUAAAGAGAAUUAAUUGUUUUGUUAUUCGGGCUGAUGAGGAAAUUGAUAAUAGCAUAAGAAUAAAUCAUUGCAAGGUUUGAGAAAUCGAAGAUAUCAAAGAGGCUGUCUGAGAUAUUAUGCAGUGCAUAUAUGGGAAGAUGAUGAUAUAUUAUGGUUUGCGUCAGCAGAGGCUUGUACAUUAGCAUUAAGCCAGGCAGCUGAGGAUGUUACUUCUGGAGAUCUUGAUGUCAUGUCACUAAUGCUGCUACAUUGUUAA
rnacentral:sRNA from 1 species